rnacentral:ncRNA from 1 species
UGAGUGUUAUGAUGAUGGAACCUUUGGUUCUUAGUCUAGCUCUGGUCUACCGCUAGGAUUUUU